rnacentral:lncRNA from 1 species
UUGUAUAUUUUAACAUUAAUGACUGUUCAUAUAUAAAAUCACAUUUUUUUGCAGGAUUGCAUAGAGUUAAUAUAACUUGACUUUCUUAAGCAAAAAAUAUAUCCUACGAACGAGGGAAGGAAAUCUAUAUAUAUGUUCAUUUACUAUUAAAAGUAAAUUGGGUUGAUGUAAUUAAAUAAAUCUCGGCAAAUAUUCGAAAAACGAAACUUUCUUAAAGUAUUGUACACGGUAACUUCUUUGGUUUUUCCCCAAGGCUAAUUAAUAGUGAUCACAAAAGAAUAUUCCAAUACCUAUUCUUUUGUACAACUUCUAAACUAUAUAAAGGGCCCUAAUGCCAUCGACAAUAUAAC